rnacentral:rRNA from 1 species
CGGAGGGUGCAAGCGUUAUCCGGAUUCACUGGGUUUAAAGGGAGCGCAGGCGGACUGGUAAGUCAGUGGAGAAAUACCUGAGCUUAACUCGGGAACUGCCAUUGAUACUAUCAGUCUUGAAUGUUGUUGAGGUUUGCGGAAUGGGUCAUGUAGCGGUGAAAUGCAUAGAUAUGACCCGGAACACCUAUUGCGAAGGCAGCAGGCUAAACAAAUAUUGACGCUGAGGCUCGAAAGCGUGGGGAUCAAACAGGAUUAGAUACCCUGGUAGUCCACGCCCUAAACGAUGAUUACUCGACAUACGCGAUACACUGUGUGUGUCUGAGCGAAAGCAUUAAGUAAUCCACCUGGGAAGUACGACCGCAAGGUUG